GGCAGACGGGUGAGUAACGUGUAGGUAUCUGCCCUUUGGCCUGGAAUAACACGAGGAAACUUGUGCUAAUACCGGAUAAGUCUUUACGGAGAAAGCUUUAUGCACCAUUGGAUGAGCCUGCACUUGAUUAGUUUGUUGGUGGGGUAAUGGCCUACCAAGACUGUGAUCAAUAGCUGAUUUGAGAGGAUGAUCAGCCACAUUGGGACUGAGACACGGCCCAAACUCCUACGGGAGGCAGCAGUGGGGAAUCUUGCACAAUGGAGGAGACUCUGAUGCAGCGAUGCCGCGUGAGUGAAGAAGGCCCUUGGGUUGUAAAGCUCUUUCGUCGGGGAAGAAAAUGACUGUACCCGAAUAAGAAGGUCCGGCUAACUUCGUGCCAGCAGCCGCGGUAAUACGAAGGGACCUAGCGUAGUUCGGAAUUACUGGGCUUAAAGAGUUCGUAGGUGGUUGAAAAAGUUAGUGGUGAAAUCCCAGAGCUUAACUCUGGAACUGCCAUUAAAACUUUUCAGCUAGAGUAUGAUAGAGGAAAGCAGAAUUUCUAGUGUAGAGGUGAAAUUCGUAGAUAUUAGAAAGAAUACCAAUUGCGAAGGCAGCUUUCUGGAUCAUUACUGACACUGAGGAACGAAAGCAUGGGUAGCGAAGAGGAUUAGAUACCCUCGUAGUCCAUGCCGUAAACGAUGUGUGUUAGACGUUGGAAAUUUAUUUUCAGUGUCGCAGGGAAACCGAUAAACACACC
rnacentral:rRNA from 2 species